ACAUCCGUAGCUUGCUUAAUAAGUUUCUUGUGAAAUUCUGUCUCUUAAGGGCAGAGCGCGCAGGAAGUACUGUUGAGCUAGAGACUGGAAGACGUGAAAAGUACGUUCGAAGUAGCGGUAAAAUGCGUUAAUCUUGAGCGGACUCACAAUAGCGAAGGCAUUUCACGAGGACAGUUCUGACAGUAAGGGAUGAAGGCUAGGGGCGCGAAAGGGAUUAGAUACCCCUGUAGUCCUAGCAGUAAACACUGUACACUAAACAUCAGUACCUCCUCGAGAGGCAUUGGUGCUGUAGCGAAGGCGAAGGGUGUACUACCUGGGAAGUAUAGUCGCAAGGCCGAAACUUAAAGGAAUUGGCGGGGGAGCAC
rnacentral:rRNA from 1 species